rnacentral:lncRNA from 1 species
UAUUUACUAUUACUUUAUUAAAAAAAAUAUCGCCGCGGGCACCUUUAACCUUUAAGGACAACUCAUUUUAACUAAAAAUAGCACAACAAUUUUUUUUUAUAUCUUAACUAAGUAUUACAUUUUAAAAUUUAUUCAUAAAUUGAUUAAUCGAUACACAUAUUUCGUUUCAACCGGCUCAAUUCAUAUUUCGAUCAUAGAUCCGUCAUUGAAUUCCUGGCUGCGCGGCCUUGUCGCUUACCGACAGCUGACGCUUUUGAUCAUGACAUUAGCUUGUUAUUUCUCUGCUUGACCUCCUUAGGUUUACUUUACCAUUGAUGUUCAUAUCUCUCUCAACUCCCAAGAUUCCAAAGUAAAUAUAUACACGUACGUACCGUUGAGCUGAUCAUAUAUGGCCCCGACACCUUCUUCUCUGAAUUUCUUGUACAUCGGCUUUCACUCAUGUUCUCCCACAUGUGCUCAAUCAUGCUCUGUCUGUCUUUAUAUAAUAUUAAAUAUAGAUUCCUUGGUCAUUUCAUGCUAUCCUCCUUUUCUCUUUUUCUCAUUUAUAUAAUAAUAUAUAUAUAUAUGUAACCAUCCUUCAAAGUAGCUUUCGAUUUUUUUCAAGUGGAGUUUUGCUCCUAUGCAAACAUUAUGUUACACGUUGAUGAUUGCCUGAUUGAACAUGCAUGUAUAACACAAAAUAAAUGGACGGAAGCCUGAGGGACGAGUGCUUUGAAAAUUAUAUGAAACAUGCAAGAUGCAAACGUACGUGUUAAUAAUGGAUACAUAAUGCCACCACUGCUGGAUUCCUUACCUUUCUUUCCCUUUCUCCUGUUUUCUUCACUGGGUUUUUCUUUGUCCACGCUAUUCUCGGUGACUCUUUUUAUUCCAACAGCGGAGACAUGCCAAGUGGGAUCACAGGAUCCCAUUUGGUCAAAAAAAAUUUCAAAAAAUUAAUGUAUCUUUUUUUGUAUUAAAGACCUAAAUUGAAUUUGGAAUCCUAUUUGAAUAAAUUCGAGAAUCCCAUUUGGAUAAAUUCGCUCAUAAUAGAGGUAAAUACAAAGCUCAACCAAUCACAAACUUGCAUCGUUUCAAAGUCGAUUUAUUUGCAGUUGCAAAAGCUGAAUAAUCAUAUCGAUGAGGUGAACACUGAAUUGCUAUGUUGUGUAGCUUGUAUAUAUCUAGAUGAUUGUUUCCUUGGUUUUGACAAGCAAAGGUUUGUUAGACUUGCUAGUUUUUAUCCCGUAGAAUUCUAUGCUCAUGAUAUCUCUCACAUUGGUUUUCAACUGGAUACUUAUAUUCUUGAGAUUAACCUUGAUGAGAGAUUCAAAGGUUUCAAAGAAAUCGCGGAGCUUUCGAAAAGAAUGGUUGAAACGGGAAAUCACAUCGUGUAUCCCAAGAUAUAUUUGCUCAUUAAACUAGCAUUACUUUUUCCGGUUGCAACAACAAGUGUUGAAAGAGCAUUUUCUUCGAUGACCUAUAUUAAGAACAAGCUUCGCAAUCGACUAGGAGAUGAGAUGUUGAAUGAUUAUUUAAUGGUGUAUAUCGAGAAAGACGUCGUUUGCAGUUUAGAUAAAGAAUGUAUGGUACAAUACUUUCAAAACAUGAAAACUCAUCGUGACAAACUAUAAAAAUGUCAAAUAUUUAAAUUAAUUUUAUUUUCUCGUUGUAUAAGAAUUCCACUUGACUUAAUUUCUAACUCCGUCCUACCAACAAUAUAGCAUACAUAUGCUAACUAGUUAUGAAAAAUAUAAUGGGCUUUUGAAUCUUCCUAACAUGUUUUUUAUAAGUGGAUUUGUAUACUAAAAAUAAACAAGUAAAUGAAAAUGUACAUGAAAAGGCUUAGAACCUAGGAAAAGCAGAAAUAAUGCUACAAUAGGCUGCUGCAACUUCUUCUAUAAAAACAACAGAAAAAUUGGGCAGUAGGUAGAACUAAAUCUACACUGUCCACACAUAUAUAUACCCAAGAUAACAUACCAAAACAAAAGACAUCCAAGCAAAACUUAACUAACCGUUAUUAAGAAAGAGUCUCAUCCAUAUCCUUGGUUUGUCAGAAGAGAAGAAACCAAAAGUCAGUCAUCCAUGCACGAACCAUUCGCUAGUAAAAUCCUAUAACUAACAUGCUUGACAUAUUGAAUCACAUCACGAAAAAUUCGGUUGUUUUUCUCAAUCCAAAUCGUCUAAAUAAUGGCAUGGAUGGAAACGUUUAAUGCAUUCGUCAAAAGAGGUAAACAGUUCAUGUCUUUCCGUGCCCAAAGGAAGGUUGACGAAAUCGUCACGAGUCGGGCCAUAUAUGAAAAGCACUGAAUUAAACUUUUGCCAAAUUUAUGAGGAGAAACUACACUGUAACAAAAGAUGGUCCACCGUCUCAAUAGCUUGAUAACACAAAACACACCGAUUGAGCAUCUAAAAACCCCUUCUCUGAAAGUUGUCGACCGUUGCAAUCUUGUUUUGAGAAACCAGUUCCUAAAAUGUUAAUAAUGUUAAUUGGCCUAUAUUAGUUAGUAACAUACAUUGUUUAAACCAUCUACAAUAUGAUGACUAAAAAGUAGUAUGCAGGUUGACUCUUUAACUUUUCGAAUAGUAGAGCUAACUUCGACUCUGGAUAUUUAAGUUUUCGUACAAGCGUUGAUUACGUACGUUUGCUUUAAUAACUUAUCCAACGUAAAUCAAUUUUGAAAAGUCGUUUUCUCUCAAUCUGACAUCACCGCCACACCAGAUUUAGCUUACUUCUUGGACCAUUACGGUUGAUGCAAUCGUAGUCCGACAAACAAAUACAACCUCAAGUUAUUGAGCACUCGUGAUUUUGGUACGUUCAGUUUGUGGGCAUGUGGUGUUACGGUCUAUCGUUGAUACUCUUGUUCUGGAGUUUUUAGCCAUUAGACAAACACUCUUUGGCCUUUGCAGCUCGCUCUCGGAGUCAAGACUCAAGUUCCCCGUCAGACAGGAAUGAAUGGGAUGCAUCACAUCGAGACACAAUCAAACUAAAAUCAUAUAUAGUUCACCGAACAAUGAAAAGCCAAACUCGAAAGGAAAGCAUAAUUACCAUUACAAAUUGGGAUGUCCGCAACAUUGAGGUCGACCUGAGGAUCAAGCACUGUCGAGGAAGCAUAUUGGCUAUCGGACGAAGCCCGAGCAUCAACAUCAACAGGGACAUAUGCAUGAAAAACUUAGGGUAGCGGCUUCGUUUUGCUUGGAUGUGAAGGCAUCGGAGAAAUUUGGAGCCUUAAACCUUAUUAUUACCAUGCGGCUUGACUAACAUCCAAGGGCCACGUUCCUGGGUUUGUAGUCAGUCAUAAGAGAGUCAAAUAGAAAAAAAUGGUCAAGGGGUUGUACUGUAAUUCAACAUCCUUCCCUCCCAUUCCAUCCCACCCUCAGCCAGCUGUUUCUCUCUGCAACAAAAAGGAGGAGAGGCAAAAUAUCCGCACUAACCGCCAAUCGCUAUAGAAACCGCACAAGGAACGCCCGGAGUUUCCCCAACCUGUUAUUGCUCUUCUUCGCAGGGAUAAACUGGAAGCAGAUGGUGGGUCACGGCGUUGACGAGCUGAAAAAGUUGGCCCAGUUACCGGCGACUUCCAAUCCCCCGGAAUCGUCGAUGAACCCUAACUCAUCACAGCAGUUUGCGCCCGCGAACAUCAGAGAAGAUGGCGAACUCUCUUCUUCAUCGGAUGACGACGUACUUACUUUCCCUCUCUUGUUAAUCUUCGCCUGUUGCUAUUAUUACUUCCGCUGUUAUCUUCAUUUUCUCGCAUUUGUUCGGUUGCGAUACUCGGUGUCGCUAGUCUUUCCUAGCGUAUGGUUCACGGAGACAUAGUGAAUCAAUAACACAAUUUCAUCGUGUUCAAUCUAAUCUAGCUUGUUUGGAUUUGAGCUUUCUUAUUUCUUGCUUUUGCUUGGACUGCUGGACGAGUAAAUCAGGUUUUGGAGUUUUAGGCGUUUAGCUUUGCGCUGGAAGAGCUUGUUCGACUUGGAGAUAUAUCUUAUCUAAGCAGAGCAGCUUGCAGUAGCUUAUUCAGAGUCUUUUAAACUAGCCAGUCUGACUUUCCAAGUUUGAAAUGCUAUAGUCUGAGCGGAUUGUUCAGUGGCUGUAGUGAUUUUGAAGCGACCGGAUCUCAUGUUCGUGAUUUGUGAAACUUACUAUGUUCCAAGACUUUGAUUAUGUAUCGGUCAACUUUUUUUUUCCCUAUCCAAUUAUCGAUACCACUAUGGAUCACCAUUUUCUGACGUUAUACUAAAAGUCUGUUGAGUUUCAUCCUGGUUGUGCGAGGAUAUGCAGCUAGCUUGGCGACAUACUUAUGGCAUUAUUUUCAUCCGUUGCUCAAUUACUCAUGGAUUUGUAAUUAGUAAUUACAUAUAUUGCUGUUCGGAAACAUGCAUUUUUCUGGGGACAUUUUGGUUUUCGGUCCUCGUCCUCUCUCUCAACUCAAACCUGAAGUGUCUUUCUGCCAGGAAAAUUGCACUUCCACGAAAUUGGAGUCAUCUGGUACUGAUGAACCUUCAGCACCACGUCAGCCGUGUUUGGUUGAGUCAACCAAGAAGUCUAUGCAGCAGAUACCAACAGGUGAAGAUUACAUGCCAUAUGUUGCAAGAGAGAAUUCCUUUUCUGCUGCAUGCAUAAUAUUUUCUAUAAUUUGCUCCUCACUCCGAGCCGCGGAGGCUUCUGCUAAAUUUCCUUUUCUGCUGCAUGCAUAAUAUUUUCAGCAAGAUGUUGGGUCAACAGCUUUUUCUUGUAAUUUUUUUUUCUAUGUGAAAAUAUUCAUUGCUGUAAACUGCAGCAUGUCAAGUCUAUGAAACUCAUGCUGACAGAUUGUGUAAAUUCAUCUCUAUGUUCUCAUUUUCGGUCCUCGUCCUCUCUCUAAACUAGUCUGGAAGUACUAAUUUCUAGCCAAGUGAAAAACUGCUGUAGUUGGUGAACUUGUUGGCUACUUCAAGGAAACCAGAUUUCAUUACUUUUAGCCUUCCCCUGCAUAUGAGCUUCCUGCUGCUUAUUUAACAUCAUUACUUGAGUUUUUUUAUCUUGAUUCAUCGGUUGUAUCUGAUACAAAGUACUUUAUUAUGGUGGAUAAACUUUACAUGAGUCUAUACAGAGGCAUAUUAUGAUAUCAGAUUAGUUGUUCUUGUGUAGCAUUGUUUAUAUUGUCCCAACACACUUUUCUGUUUGUGUAUGUCGAAAACAAUGGCUUAUAAAAAGCACUACUAUUUUUGUGACUCUUAAUUCUUAUCUAUCAUUCUUCUGCCUUCAUUUUUUCCUAUGAUGGAUGGCUAGAUUCGCGUACUACCAUUUUUGCAUAUAGAUAUUUGAAAAAUGUAUGGUCAUAUAUCCUAUUUUUUGCCUAAGGAAUUUACAAACAUGUUGCAGUGAACGAAACUUGUACAGCUAGUCCUGUGAACAAUAUUGAGUUAUCAACCCAUGCAUCAGCACAAGCAAAUAAUGGCAAGAGUGCUGUGAAGAAUAGGUUAGCAAGUAAAUCAUCUAAUUCAGGACGGCAGGUUGCUUUAGCAGGCAAUAACAAUCUUGUGAUAAGGUUCUCAGAUGAGGAUAGUGCCAGUGAAUCUGAAGAUUAUACUCAAAUGAUGGAUUUGAGAUCUAAGAUCAGGAAAACUGGACCAGAUGGCAAUAGAAAGUUGCUUUCUCAUACAUCAAUACCCAAGACGUCGCAACAUGCUGGAGCUAAUGUUCGCAACAUAAUUCGCCGCAAACCAACUCUAAACCACACAUAUGUCUCACCAGUAAGCAAUAUCGUUAGAGGAAUUAAAUCUGGAGCUGGGACAGCACAGACUGGACAAUCAUCACGGGGUAGAAGUUUCAGCAAUAGCAACAUAAGUACUCAAGGGAAUACUUUUGAACUUGGCCUAGGCUUGAACCAAGCUAAACUUCAUGACUUGAGACAGCAAAUCGCUAUGCGGGAAAAGGAAAUGAAGCUCAAGGCAGAUCAGCAAAAUAAGCUUUCUGCUUUAGUUUCUGCAAGAGAAAACAGUGCUAAGAACUUGUUGAAGAAUGCUCUCGGUAAGUCAAAGAUAUGUCCUGAUGCUGAACAAAAGGAACCUGUCAGAAAACGGCCAAAAGUGAGUGGGUCCUUUUCUAAUCAGCUAAAGGCAGAUUCUCAACAAGUAAAUGUGCCUCCGAAGUCUAUUCAACCAUCAAAUGGGGAGAAUGCUGGGGUUGAACGACAUGACAUUGUUAAUUGCAGCAAUAAUAGCAGUCCCAAGAGAAGAACAGAUUCAGAUGUCGUCAAAUCACUACAGCAACACGAUGCGCAGCAGUUCAUUUCAUCAGCAAAUCCAGCCAGUGAGUUGAACGAUGGAAAAUGCUUUUAUAAAGCUAUUUAAAGCUUAUUUUCUCCUAUUUAGACUAUCUAACGUAUUGAGUCAUUGUAUCUUUGCAGGUAACAUCGGUAGCUUGCAUGUAAUGGCUAAAAACAUUGGUGUACAGGUGCCAUUUUGUGAUAAUAUUUUAGUGCAAAUAUUUUCUUACUACUAUUGUUCAAACUUUUGUUAUUUCUUGUAUAAUAUCCAAGUGAAAUACGAUAGGCACUUUUCAAUACCACUAUUGUUCUACUUCAUGCCUUUUCUGUGGAUCACAUUUUGACUUCGGUGUUGUUCGGCGACUUAAAAAACUGUCCGAUGGGAACCUACUGAUUCAACUUGAUAUUUGAACUGUGCCCAAGUUUAAGCAUUUUUUUAGGUUACGGCUCAAGUACUUGACAAUGGACAUCCUUCUGCGUUUCAGAAUACUUUGGGUUUGGUGCAAUUCUUCUCUUAAUUGCAGCUCUUUUUUACAGGAGAGUGUGGGUAAUGAUCAUCUGCUUAAGAUCACUCACCCCCUUGGUUCUUCAAAGAUGGCGUUGAGUGAAAAACAUAUGUUCCACAAGCAAAGUGCUUCUGGUCACAACAUUGUGUCCCCCGUUGUAGAAAACAUGUCCCAGGUAUGCUUAUCAGUAUACCAAUGUUUCUCAUAUAGAAGAAUGCAAUUGAAUUAGCUCUCGCUUAUGUAAUUUUUCCUCUUUUUCCUUUGGGACUCCAUAAUGUUUCAGGAGUCUUUGAUAAAUGCGAACUUCUCAAGCUAUUUGGGAAAUGUCUCGGACAACUGUAACAGAAACUUGUGCCGCUUAGUUGAAAUGGAGGAGAAAUUGGACAAGGAGUUGGAAGAAGCACAAGGACUGAGAUAUAGAUGUGAAAUUGAAGAAAGAAAUGCACUCAGCGCUUAUAGGAAAGCUCAAAGGGCCUUGAUUGAGGCUACUGCUAGAUGUACCGGACUUUAUCGCAAAAGGGAAUUGCAUUCUGCCCAAUUUGGAUCACUGAUCAUGAAUGAUCCCAGUUUGUUAUUGUCUGCUGGGGAGCAUGACCAACGUGGAAUGGGUUCAAGUCCUGCACAAAAGGCAUGUCAAAACAUACUUCCAGUACCUUCAUCAAUUCAUCAGAAGCAGCUGUCGGAUGGGCAGAAUUUGAGGUCAGAACCUUGCAGUGAGCCAGAGUUAAGCACGUCGGAGCCACUGAAUCAUGACUUCGUGAACACUGCAAGUCGACGGAGCUCUCCUACAAAAGAUCCAAAUGUUUCAUCAGAUGAAGAUGAAGAGGUGUUUCCAACGGAGCAUGACGUGGACCAAUGCAGCAACAUGCAACCAAUAUCACAUACUUCCUGUGGACAGCUAAAUCAUUUGGAUCGUCCUUCAGAUAAAGGCUUUUCCUUAAAUCACUCUCAAGACCCAUUGCUUCUUGAGGCAUCGUUGAGGACUAAACUCUAUGCUCGGUACGGAGUGAGAUCCUUACCAAAGACUACUGUGUCAUCACAUAUAGAGUCUGCAGAUGAAGUAGGAACCGAAAACGACAAUGAGAGUGAAAGAACUCAGAUGAGCAACAGCAGUCUUCCUGUAUCAGCUGCUGAAAGACGGCAAGAAUGCAAUCUCGAAGGUAACAGUUCUCCAAAAAUUGACAGCUGAUUCAUGACAUUCAUAUUCUGUCAGAUUUUUGCUGCACUAACCAGUUUGUCGUGUCCUUAAACAAUCUGUUUGUGGAACUCCUGUAUAUAACCACUUUAAGAAAGCAUAGCCUUUUCAUUUCUCUGUGUCCUGUGUAAUUACGUGGUUUCAUUCUUAAACCAGGCGAGGAUAAUCCCGAAAGAGCUAUGUCAGAGCCACCUGCCCAUGACAUGAACCUUGAAACUCAUUCCACUACUAAUUCUGGUCAAAUAGAGUACACUAGCCGAGGCUAUCAGUCGACUCCUAACAUGUUGUCAACCCCUACAGGAUGGAGAAGUGUGUUCAAGCGUUUGAAAGUUAUGUCCUCCAUAGCUUUGUUACCUGUGAAAGAUAUAAACAAUCAGCAAAGUGCCAUGGAAUUUAAGUAUGUUGAAGAUGAUAAUGAUGUUGAAUCUAGCGAAAUACAGUACACCAAUUUAACUGCAAGUUCAAUGGAGGAAAGCGCCAAGGAUAUAUGGGAUAUGGAAAUUGGAUCCUUUAGCAACAAUGCUGCAGUUGAUCCAUUCUGGCCUCUUUGUAUGUAUGAACUUAGAGGAAAAUGCAACAACAGUGAUUGUCCCUGGCAACAUGUUGCAGAUUACUCUGGUGACAUUAGAAAAAAGAAUCAGCAUGAUGGUUCUCAUGAUCCUGGUAAGGAAGUACUUUAAAAAACUUUUGAUUUCAACUAAAAAUAAUCUGUCUCUAAGCCUGACAUUUGGUUUUGCAGAUUGUUCACCUGGAUUACGAAAUGAAAGAACAACAGCCAAACAUCCAAUUAGUGAUGGUAUAUUGUAUUUGCCAACUUAUUGGGUUGGUCCAGAUCUCAUUAAAGCUCGUACACAUACAUAUGAACCCAGCGUAGCAUGGAAACAUGGAAAAUGCUGGCGCUGGCAGAAAAGCUUCAGUGCUUACUUAGCUAUCUCCAGUUUGCUCGUCAAAGAUUUGCCUGCAAAUGAGCUUUUUUCAUGUGGCAAUGAAGGCCGAAUUGAGGUGCACGGGAGUUGGAAUGCACAGUUGUCUUGCUUCCCCAGUAGAACUGGCCUAGCGGUUUGUUAAGUCAAUACUUUCGCUUCCAUUGAACUGUUUCGUGUACUGCCGUAUCUGAUUGGUGCCUCACAUGGGAUUACAUGCUUAAAUUUAUUGAUGUUUUUGCAAAUUUCUUGCCCUGCUUUGCAUGUUUUGGACUGCAGUGUGAAUAUACUGUUGCUGCAUGCUGUGAAGAUUCGGUUCACUGUUCCCUUGUUAGCAUUUUUCUCCUAGAUAAAUUUGUUACAGCGGGGCUUCAUCUGCUCUUUUUGUUUGCGGACUUGUUUGGAAUCAUGAAUCAUGUUAAUUGAAUUUACUAACUGGAUGCAUGAGCUGAUCAAAUUCAAAACUAUUUUUGACCUAGAAUUAUGAGAAUCAAGUGAUACCUAGUAGCAUGCAAGCCCUGGAAAUGUCCCUUGCCACUCUCUGCCAGGAGGUUAACAAAGUAGAGAAUAUGACGAAGGUAAAUGCUAAAGUUGUCAUAUUUUCUGUCGUCCAAACUUCCACUGAUUUCAAAUCUUCUUCUGCAGUCUCUUUCUAUGCUGUCAAGGGCUAUUGAAUCUGAUCCUACAUCUGAAGUCGUGUGGAUAACGUAUCUCCUCGUGUACUAUAGUAACAUCAAGUCAAUUGAGAAGAAUGACAUGUUCUCCUAUGCGGUACGUGCUUUAAGUGAAGCGAUUUGGCCUACUUAAAAUUCUGAGGUUGUCACGUGUUGCAUGCCAUCAUUUAUUUUUUCUAAGAUAAAGAGGAAUAUUUGGAACUGGUUAAGAAGAUGGACAGAGAAGUACGGUGUAGACAGUUGAUGCCUGUAGUAGAAGCUAUUUUUGGUAAUCGUAGUACAAUGUUAAUUGCUCUGCUGAUCAAAUUCACUGUCCAUUUUGCAUAUUAAUUAAGAGAUUUCUAUAUGCUGUCUGGAGUUUUCUUCCCUUUCAGAUUGAUAUGAACUUAUGUACAUAGAUUCUUUCUGGUCCCUUAAACAGUAUAGAUAACAAUUCUUUGAAUGGCCAUAACGUCUGGGACUGUGAAACUAGCACCUCAAUAAUUUGGUAGGCCUAAAUUAGUACUGUUAUGUAAUUGUGAUUAUCUGGGAUUCUGCAUCUGUAAAAGUUUCCUGUUGAACCUGUUGAUCUUUUGCAUCUCUUAAAAAGACAGGGAGUAGUGUAGUUGAAACCCUUGCUGAAAUUGAAUCCCUUCUUAUUUUGAGAUGGUACGUGGGUCAAGAUUUGUUCAUUACAGGUAGAAAAUUUGUUCUUGCCUGAGUUGGAGGUUGCCUAUUUGCAUAUGCCUGCUCCUCGGUUAUAAAUGUUUUUCCCUUUGUUUCUCUUCGCUGUACCUAAUUGUUUUGAAAUGCAAAAUUUUGCUUGGAAACCUUUUUCCAUGAUCUUCAGGUAAAAUAUAAUGCUGGAUCUUAUGGACUUUGGCUCAUGUACAUCAACAGCAGAAAACAUCUGAAGGAUCGGUUAUGUGCAUAUAAUGAAGCAAUCAAAGUGCUUUGCCAGAUCGAGUUGACUCCUGAGAAAAAAGAAAUGCACAGUGCAUGCAUCUUAGACCUGUUUUUGCAGAUGCUGGAAUGUUUCUGCAUGUCUGGAAAUAUUGAUAUGGCAGUGCAGAAAAUAUCUGGACUCUUCAGUUUGACAACUUACUCAGAUGAGCCACAUUCUGAGUUGCUCUCUGAUAUACUCAAAUGCCUGACAAUUUCUGACAAAUAUAUGUUCUGGAUUUGUUGUGUGUACUUAGUUAUUUACAGGAAGUUGCCUGUUCCCGUGCUUCAGCAGUUUGAGUGUGAGAAAGAUCUCUCUGCAAUUGAAUGGUCACCUGUUGAUUUAAAGGGCGAUGAGAAGCAUAGAGCCGUCGGGCUAGUUGAAAUGAUGUUAGAUUCUGCACUGCAGUUGUUUUCCAACAAAGAAUCACUGGAGAGUGAAGCCAACAAUAGGGGAGCUCAGUGUUUUGCCCUCAAUCACAUACGGUGUAUGAUGGCACUUGGUAGGUCGGAAGUUUGUUGCACAUUACUGGAGAAAUAUUUGACUGUGCUUCCACAGUGCUUGGAGUUGGUCCUUGUAGCGGCAAGAAGCCAAGCUGCUGAUGUAGAUAGUGUAAGGUUCGAUUGGUUCGAGAAUGCCCUCACCAACUGGCCGAAAGAAGUGCCUGGAAUCCUUGGUUUAUGGAAUCAGUAUGUUGAAUUUGCACUUGAGAGACGAGGACCUGAUCUUGCUAAGGAACUGCUUGUUCGUUGGUUCAACUCCAUCUCAGAACUUAGAUAUAGGGACAGCAGUCCAGUUGGAUCGUUGGAGUUGGCAUCAGCUUCAAAUCCAGAAUUUCUAAUGCCCUAUUCUAAUCAAAUGGACAUAAUGUUUGGAUUCCUCAAUCUCUGCCUCGCUAAAAUGUUGCAAAAUGAUCGUACUGGGGCGCUUGUUGCCAUCAACAGUGCUUUGAAGAAUGCACCCCCAUUCUUUUUUAACCAUUGCUUGGUUGAGCAUGCUACAUUCUUGCUUAACUAUGAAAAUGGGCGAGCAAAGUAUGCUCCUGUCAAGGAGCGGCUGAGGAUUUUGAAAGGUUACUUGGAUGAUUCUAGAGCUUCGUUUGUAUCUGAACCUUUGUCCAGGCGGUUCAUCAAGAAUCUUGGCAAGCCAAGAGUUGAGCAGCUUAUCAGUAACAUACUGAGUCCAGUCUCAUCUGUGUUUUCGCCUGUGAAUGUGGUACUCAAGGCUUGGUAUGGUCCACCCCUUGUACCCGAAAACAUAGGCCAUGCAAAGGAAUUAGUUGACUUUGUUGAAGCGAUAUUGGACAUAGUGCCAUCUAAUUACCCAUUGGCAUUCUCUGUCUGUAAGCUGCUGAGAGCAGGCUUCUUCAGAAUUUCAGAUGGAAUGUCAGAAAGUGUACUAUUCUGGUCGAGCUCAAUGUUGGCGGAUACGAUAUUUCAAGCUGUCCCAGUGGCACCUGAACAUGUUUGGGUUGAGGCGGGGGAGAUAUUGUUGGAAACUAAUGGGGCUGCUGAUUUACUUUCAGAGAGGUUUUACAAGAGAGCUUUGUCAGUGUAUCCAUUUUCGAAGAAGCUUUGGUGUGGGUACAAGGACUUGGUGAAAGAUAGAAAAGGAGGGAAUGGUAGCACUCCUAGCAGUGUUGUGGAUGAAUUGGCUAGACGAAGAGGUAUAGAACUGGGAUGAAACUAGGGGCUCUGGGUCUGAUUCAUAGAGAGAAGAAGUGCAGUGAAUUUUGUAGUACGAAUUUGUAAGUUACUCAUGCGAGUUAAGAAUGCAUCACAGGAAUACGUAGAUAGACACAGAGAUGGAGGAUAGUGAGGAUUUUGGCUUUUUAAGGGCUUUAGGUGGGAAGCAGGAUAGAUAAGAUAGAUUGACACAGCAGAUAAGUGUUUGUUUGUAGUGGGGUUUAGUUUGUUUUGAUGCAGAUGUUACGUUUGCUCGUCUCGUCGUCUGUAUUUCCUAUCCUCUUCCUCGAGCAGUUAAUUUGGAAUCUAGAGUAUAGGGAUUUAGCUUUUCAAAUGAGAGCAUGGGGGGUGGGGGAAAGUGUUUGAACAGUAUCUUGUAAGCUUAGUAGCAUUCUUCUGUUGGACUGUUACGAAGUUCAACAUCACUCAUGUUUUAGUGCUAAUAUAUAGAUGUUAAGAAAUAUGCCAGCAUUCCGAUCAGAGGUUGGAGUGGGACAGAAUUUGAUUGGUUCAACUUUUUAUGUCAAUUUUCUUAGCAACUCAAGUCAUUGAUUUAUCAUUUCGGUUAUGGCCAUCUCAUGUUUUGGUAUAAUUGAGGUGUUACAAUUUGAACUGUCCAGUUUCCUGUAAUUGAGAAGGCCCAGUUCUUGUUCAGGCUCUACAUUACAACGUUAUCCUCAUCUUCCAGAUAGGGACGUACAUGGAUCUGUCGUUACUUUGUUUGCUAAACACAAAGGAAGCAAGCAAAGCCCUCUACUUCUCAGCCCUGUCUCUAAAUCAUCAGCAGCGGAGGCACUCUGGCUCAACAUCUGCUUAAACACAAUUUCACAUCUUAGAAUUAACUUUGAUUUCACUUACACAGUAUAUAUUAUAUUAUACUAAGACUGUUUGUGAUACCUGGAGCUGUUUGUGGAGGAGCUUGAUGUGAAGAGAAGCCUCUUGUAGAACCGAGGCAGUAUCAGUCUACAUACAAAUUAAGUAAGCAAAAUUAAGUGAUCAUGUCUCAUCAUUCAGAGUAGUUAACCAAGUUUAAUUUCAUCUUCUCCUUAAGGGAUAAGGCUGACGACUACUGACCUUGCCAUAUGGGGACACCAACUUCUGCAGCGUUGUGAUUUUCUCGCUUAACUUCUGUUUCCUCCUUGCGGGCACUUCAAUCUGCUCGAAUAUGAAGAAUCUGUUUAGUUAUGACACAAACAAAACAUAUAUAUAUAUAUAUAUAUGAAAAAUACUAUUCUCUACACUCUGAAAGUGUGCUGACUGCUGAGAAAUUAAGUUGAACCAAUAUUUUCAUACAUUUUUGUUAUUAACUUGUACCUUGAAUUCUUGGAUGCCGAUAAACUGCUGUGUCUUUUCACAAGUAGUGACGCUGCUGGAUUUCUUCCUCUUCCCACCCUUGCAUUCUCUGCUGCUAACUUCAAUUCUUCGUUUCCUCACUUGUCCACCAUGCGAACAACUCUGUUCAUCAACAAAAACAAGGCAUAAGAACUUCAUAUAUUUAUAGUCUUGAACAAUUACCAAUUACUUGAUCAAUCAAUCUAAUCACAGCCCUCACAUAAUUAUCUGCCACCGGAGCCUGAGCAGGAAAAGAAACAUUCUUGAGCUGGUUCGAAAAGGUAUCACACCUUGAAUACAAUCCAUACCCAGUACUGAGCACCUCGAAAGGCGAACCGUAACUGUUAAUGAAAUUGCUGGAGUCCCAACAGAAGCUGUCAAGGUUCCUGAUAAGCAACAAGCAUACAAAAUAACGAGGAGUUGUGGAAUUCAAACUACAUUGAUUUCAUUUUGUUGGAAAUGAUGAAAGCAACUGUACUGUACAGAAUUCUGGUGUUGUCCAUUGGCAUUGAGGUGUCCAAACUUGGCAUCACCAAUGCUUCAUUACUACUGCUCCCUGGAAACAUUAAUAUCAAAAUUAAAGAAAUGGGAUACGAGAGCAAGCUAGGAAUUAAGUUUUGUUCUAUGGAUUAAGUUGUGUUUACCAAAGUUGUAACAAAGAUGCGAUGAAGAAAGUGGAAUAACAGAAUCCCUCAUUUUGCCAACAACAGAAGAGAGGGAGAUCGAAGUUGUGUUUGUUUGAUUAAGGUUUGUAGUACUGAUCAAGUGGCCUCGCUGCUAACUCUCUAUUUAUUUUUGAGCUAAGCUGUGUUUGAUUAAGGUUAAUCCAUUUUUAAAACCUUUUUUAAAAACGUUGAUUUUGUCUUUGAGCAAGACCGUAAGGGAUCACAAGGAGACAACGGACGGCUGCAUGAGCUUUAACUAGUGUCUCAAACUUGUUUUUUUCCUUUCACUUAGUCAAAUAUUACAUCCCUUUCAUCUAAUGUUUGACUUGGAUGCUUAUGAAUACUUGAUAACAUGUUGCCAUUAAUCAUUUCCUAAUUAUUUGUUUUUUUCAACCAAGUCUCCAAGCCGAUUACUCUGUUUGUUUUGUUCUACUGCAUUAUUUGGUGAUAGAAAUUCAUCAAAAAAAAAACAAAAAAAAAAACUUAUUUGGUGACAGAAUUAUAUAUAUCUAGUAAGCUCUAAUUAACAACAAUAAUAAUAAUAAUAAUAAUAAUAAACAAACCUUAAAUAAUUUGCUUCAGGGUUUGACUGGGCGUGCCAUGUAUGUAUAUGGCUAUUAGCUCAGCAAUCAGCAAUGGUUAUGAAGUAAUAAAAAUAGUACCCUGUCCUGGUUCAACUUAACGUAAAGCUCAGAAGCUCUAACAUGAUGACAAGUGGCCUCAACACACGAACUCAUUCUUAAAUCUCUUAACCCAUGACAUUGUGAAAAGUGGUAUGUACUUAAUACGAUAGUUGUUUAUGACACAGCCAAAUUCCGAGAAGUCUAGGCCAUCAUUGUGUGUAACCGACGUUACAGCUUGAUUAUCCGUCUCGAAACAACAAGUUUCAUAGCCCAUCCCCUGAAUCCUAACCCGAGUCCUCAGGAGAUAAAUCAUUGUAUUGUAAAUCAACUUGGGUUUAUGGGAUAGGUUGACACGGGUCUGCGAGAAACAAAUAUGGAGACUUCGUCUGGGCUAGACUGCCUAAUACAGAUGGGCCAAAUUGAGGAGAUUCGUUAGAGCUCGAAUAAACGUCAGGCCCAAAAGGCCUCACUGUCGUCCCAUCUAAUACUAUAUAUGCUUAGGGUUUUCCUCCAUAGCGCAGCCUCUCAAAACCCUAACUCUCCAUUGCCGAAGUCGCUUGGUGGCGCCACAGAUCUCCUCUGCAUCGUCUAUUCUGGUGCGUGCACUCUUCAAAUGAAAUAAGCCUUCAUACCUGAGCUUUUUGUCUAGUGGUUUUACUGAUUGUUAUUGCGUCGACUGGUUCACUGUCCUUAUGUUCUGAUAAUUGUUCUUUUAAUGUGUUCAGUUACUUGAAAUUGGGAUUUCUAACUGUCCUUAUAUUUUGUGAUCGAGAAAGGUAUUUAAUUUUUAUUUUGGCUGAAAUGGGAAUCAAAAUUUCUUAAUCAUUUACAACCUCAGCUCUAGAUUUACUGAAUUUAAGCAUCAAACGUCUUAUUCGUUGAAUUUUUGUUUCUUCGAGACCUGAUUUGAGGACCUGGAUCGCUAUCAGAAAAUUUACCUAACUUGCGGCCUUGUAUAUAUCAAAAUGCUUGCUGCUUUGUGAUCUUUCUGCACAAAUGAGAUACUAGAUUGCUUCUGUAAUCUGAAAAGCUAAAUGGCUUUUUAUUGUGCUAUAGACCUACAGUAGAUUGGAAUAAAGAAUGAAUGUGUAGAUUGAACUAGCGUAUCUUAUAAAUACGUUAUGGGUGUUGAUAUUUUGGGUUGUUACAUUUCUGUAGCAGCAACAAUGGUGAGGAUUAGCGUUUUGAACGAUGCUCUUAAGAGCAUGUACAAUGCAGAGAAGCGUGGUAAGCGCCAGGUCAUGAUCAGGCCUUCCUCGAAAGUGAUCAUCAAGUUUCUUAUUGUGAUGCAGAAACAUGGUAUGUACCCUGUGUUUUCUUCUUCCUGCUUUUGGUUGAUUUUGUGGUGCUGUUGCUUAAUAUGGCUGCCUUUUUUUCUGAAUGCAGGAUACAUUGGUGAGUUUGAAUAUGUUGAUGACCACAGAGCUGGCAAAAUUGUUGUGGAGUUGAAUGGAAGGCUGAACAAAUGUGGUGUCAUCAGCCCGAGAUUUGACAUUGGUGUCAAGGAGAUCGAAGGCUGGACUGCUCGCUUGCUUCCAUCUAGACAGGUUGGUCCACUGCAUUCAUGCUUUGCUAAUAUUCUUAAUUCUGCAUUCAUGAUUAUUGUAAUUUUGGCGAGAGUUGUGAAUAUGGUUGAACUUGAUGGUGUGCAGUUUGGAUUCAUUGUGUUGACAACUUCUGCUGGCAUUAUGGACCACGAGGAAGCAAGAAGGAAGAAUGUUGGAGGGAAAGUGCUUGGCUUCUUCUACUAAAGUUGUCUCCUGAUUAGUUGAAUCAUGGUUACGAGGAGUUUUGGCCUGUAAUUUGGAAUAUGCUUUUUACCCCAUGGAUGCUUUGUAAUGGAUACUGUGUAAGGUUUAGUCUUUCUGAAACUGUUUUUUAACAUUGAGUGGCAUCCACCUCAGUCAAGUUGAAAUGACAAAUGAUUUUUGUGCUUCACAUUAAGUCCUCGUUGAAAUGGAUGUAUUUGAUUGCGAUUUGCGUAGAAAGUGAAGCUGAGUCCCAGAGAGAGCACUCUAUAAUCUCAAUCGAAUACAUCCAAUCCAAUUGUGACUUCCUCUCUGGGACUCAGCUUCACCUUCUCUGCAAAUGGCAAUCAAAUACAUUUGCUUGACCUCGACAGAAUCCCCUCUCUGCCGGUCUAUUUCUCGCCCUCACCAUCGGCUCUGCCGUUGAUAUUGCUUCUGACGACAAGAUAAAAAGGAGAAGGAAGGUGGUAGAGGACAGAGGCGGGCAUUAGAUCUAUUAGAUUAAAAAUAAAAUAAAAAUAUUUUUCGAAAUACCGAAACUACCAGAGUUAUUUUGAUGAUUGUUGUACUGGUUCUCCUUUUUCAGGCAGUUUUGUGCUCUUUUUGGUAAUUACAACUUCAAAAUCCUACUUUAAACUAAUAUAAAGUUUAGUGUGCAGUUUAGGGUCUUGAUUUACUGAUAACAUUUAUGUUUGAGUUUCCAGUUCGUUGAUAGAAUUUAUGUUACCAUUUGGGGGUUAUGAAUAUUGAAAAAUAGAUGUUCUUCAGUAAUUUGGUUCAUUUCUAAAGUUUCUUUCCUUCAAUAUUUCUCAACGGCAGGAAAUCAAGAUAAAAAAGCAAACGAAACCUAAGUACAAUCACGCAACUGAUGUCAGAGCGGGCUUAGAACUUGAACCGUGAUUAAAUAGUAAAUACACGAGACAACAGUUUAUGUUUCUGCAACGAGUUUAGCUCCAAACUGUAUGGGUAUCGCAAGUUUCAUGCAUGCUGCAAUUCUGUUGAGGGUGAGGUGUUGUUGGACGAACUACACUGCUAGUAAUGUGCAGUUAUCAUAUUUCCAUAUCGCGAACCCACCUGCAUCAACCAUGUCCAAACGAUCCGUUGAGGUCCAGAGGUUGUCGGUUUGAUUAAACCAAGAUCACAAAAGGGUUGUGAAUUGUGAUGGACCGUUUAGAAGCAAAUAGCAGUAGAAAUCUUAUUCAAAUCUAUGAAUCAAUAAAUACCUCUUUCAUGCCUUAACAGUGAGGGGAAAUGAACUUCCCUUUAAUGUACUUUCAACAAAGAUUUAUCCCGGGGGGGGGGGGGGGAAACAAAGAUGGUGGAUUGUUAUCUUCAGCACAGUGAAGGAACAACAACAGCAACAACAAUACAUAAGUGGUUUUGUUACAAUUAAAAAAGAGUAGAACACAUUUAUGCCAAAGGUACGUAGUUGCCCUUAACUCAUGAUGUUUUCUCCACACCACAAAUCAAGCACUUCUCUUCACCAUCUUUAAUUUCUUGAUACACAGCAUUACUGCAGCAGCAGCAGCUUCAAUCCUGGGGAAGGCAAGAUGAAGAGUAGUGAUGACCCUCCAGGGGCUUUGAAGGGUGAGAGAGGGGAAAAUAGAUGACAAUGGGUUGUGGGUUUUUGUAGGGUUAGGAAAAAAGCUAGAGAGGAAGUGGAAGUGGGUAUGGAGUCCAUGGGGAAGAGGAUCUUCUCAGCAUAUCCCUUUCUCUCUGAUCACAUUUUA